rnacentral:rRNA from 1 species
CAGUAGCCACGGGAACACGAAGGGGGCUAGCGUUACUCGGAAUUACUGGGCGUAAAGGGCGCGUAGGCGGCGCUCCAAGUUAGGCGUGAAAGUCCUGGGCUCAACCUGGGAACUGCGCUUAAGACUGGAGUGCUUGAGGAUGGAAGAGGGUUGUGGAAUUCCCAGUGUAGAGGUGAAAUUCGUAGAUAUUGGGAAGAACACCGGUGGCGAAGGCGGCAACCUGGUCCAUUACUGACGCUGAGGCGCGACAGCGUGGGGAGCAAACAGGAUUAGAUACCCGCGUAGUCCCUGUCUCUUAUAA